rnacentral:misc_RNA from 1 species
UAAGCAACGUUGGGCCUGGUUAGUACUUGGAUCGGAGACGGCCUGGGAAUCCCAGGUGUUGUAGACAUUUUCAAACUUUUUUUUUUUUUUUCCUUUUACGAAUGCUAUAGAUCAUUUUGCACAACGCAAUUGUAGUAGAUUAAUUGCCUAGAAUUUUGGCUUGAAGAUCAAUUCUAAAAAUGAUACAACAAACAAGUGGAUUUAUUGCAACGUAAAAAGUGUAUAAGCAAGUAUAUAAUGUUGAUGCGACCAAAAUAGAAUUUUGAAAAAAUUACUAUCUUCUAUGAUCAUACAUAGCAUUUUGAAAGUGUUUCUCCUCUCAACAUUAAACAACUCACUUCAAAGAACAAAAAAUAUAGUAACUGGAAGAGCGAAACUUUCUCAACGGUUUAAUUACCCAAGUUUGAGGUAAUUGAAUGUUUCAGCCCAGAGUUUCGGCUCAUGUGGCUUGAAGAUAAAUUUUGGAACGUCCUAUGCUAAACAGGACAACAGAAAUGUGAAUGCAUUAUAAUGGUAAUAUUUGUUUUUCUUGAUGUCUACGACCAUACCAUGUUGAAAGCACGACAUCUCGUCCGAUCUGUC